rnacentral:rRNA from 1 species
AUGGCGGGCGCAAGGAACAACGAGCUGCGCAUGACCCUGCUCGGCCUGGCCCUGCUGGGGCUCCUGCUGCUGAGCCACACCGCGGCGCCGGUGGAAGCCGCCGCGGGCGUGAACGGGAACAGCUUCUCCAUGAACAGCAUCGGCGGCCGCAGUCUCAAAAGCUUCAGCAUGAACACCGCCGAGAACGGCGACGGCGCCAAGGGGGGGAAGGUCAAACCCGCCGGCGGCGACUUCUGA